AAAAAAAAGUUUAAAAAGGACAAAAAAUUGAAAAACAUAUAAGACCUAAUAAUAAACAUAUAAAAAAGUCAGACAAAAAAUUAAAAAGAGAAAAGUUAAUGCAAAUAAAAAAGUAUGAGAAUUUAAAAAACGCAAAUAAGAAAUGAAAGGAAAUUUGUGAAAAAAGAAAUAAGAAAAGCAACAAAAGAAUAAAAUGAAAAGACAAAGGUUUGGAAUAAAAAACAGAAAAAUAAAAAUUUUUAAAAUAACAGAAAAAUUAAAACAAGUAAAUAUGAAAGCAUAUGCAAAAAAGGCAAAAAAGAAGGAAAUUUUGAAGGGAAAAAGUUAUUAAAAAUUACAAAGUAGGACAAAAAUAGCAAAAAUGAUAAUAAAUAAAAAAAUAAAAAAGAUUCAAAAAAUAAAAUAAAAAUUUUGAACUUUAAUAAAAAAAUUUUAAAAUAUAAAUAAAAAUAAAUGGAAAUAUAAAUUAAGAAAAAAUAAAAAGUAAGAUAUUAAAAAAUUAGCGAAUAAAAAAAAUAAAAGACAAAAGAAUAAAAAUUUCAAAUACAAAAUAGAAAAAAUUUUAGUUCAGAAUAUACAAGAAAACAAAAAAAAUAUAACAAAUAUAGGAAAAGAUAUAAAAAAUCAAAGGUAAAAAUAAAAUAAAAGUUAAUGAAAAAUAUAAAUAAAAGCAAAAGAAAGUGCACAAAAAACAUAGUCUAAUAAUUUAAAUGGCAAAUAGAAAUGAAAGGAAAUUUGUGAAAAAAUAAGAAAAGCAAGAAAAGAAUAAAAAUGAAAAGACAAAAGAUUUGGAAUAAAAAAAGAAAAAGAAAUAUAAAAAAUUUUAAAACAACGAAAAAAUUAAAACAAGUAAACUGAAAGCAUAUGAAAAAAAAAAAAAAAGCCAAAAAGAAAGAAAAUUUUGAAGGGAAAACGUUAUUGAAAAAUUACAACAUAGAACAAAAAAAAUGAAAAUGAAAAAAUAAAAAAGAUUCAAAAAAUUUUAAAUUUUAAAUUUUAUAAAAGUUUUUAAAAAUAUAAAUAAAAACAAAUAAAAGAAUAGUAAUAUAAAAGAAAAAAUAAAAUAAAAUACCAAAAAUGGAAAAAAAUGAAAAGUAAGAAAAUAAAAAAAUAUAAAAAGACAAAAUGAAUAAAAAUUUGAAAUAUAAAUAGAAAAAAUUUUAGUUUAAAGAAAAAAAAUAACAAAUACAAGAAAAAGAUAUAGAAAAUCAAAAAAAUAUAAAAAGACAAAAAGAAUAAAAAUUUGAAAUACAAAAUAGAAAAACUUUUAGUUUAAAGAAAAAAAUAACAAAUACAAGAAAAAGAUAUAAAAAUCAAAGAUAAAAAAUAAAAUAAAAGUUAAUAAAAAUAUAAAUAAAAACAAAAGGAAGUGCACAAAAAAAGAAGUUUGAGGUUUUAAAAUUGUAAAGAAGAAAUAAAAAAAGAAAAUAUAUAAAAAGCAAGAAAAAAAUAGAGAAUUUUAAUAGAAAGAAAAAACUUCAAACAAAAAAAUGAAAGUAAAUCAACAAAUAAGUUAAAAGAAAAAGAAAAAAAAAGGGAUUAAUGAAAAAUUAUAAAAAUAGAAUAAAAAAUAGCAAAAAACAAAAAAUGAAAACAAAAAUGAGAAAAACCAAAAGAAUAAUAGAUUAAAAAAUAAAGUAAAUAUCCAUAACAUUACAAAAGUUAAAAAUAAAAAAUAAAAGGAAAAAUAAAAUAAGAGAAAAUAACAAAGCAAAAGGAAAAUGAUAAAAUAAGUACUAAAAAACUAAAAAUAGAAAAAACAAAAAAGUAAGGAAAUGAAGAAAUAACGAGUCAAAAGAAAAAAUUAAAAAAAUAGAAAAAUGUUAAAAAUGGAAAAGAUGACAAAAUAGAGAAAAGUUUAGUUUAUAAAUACAAACAAAUAAUAACAAAUAAUAAGAAAAAAAGAUUUAAAAAAUCAAAGAUAAAAAAUUAAAAGAAGGGAAAAGUUAACACAAAAAGAAAAAAUAAAAACAAAAGAAGGAAGUGUGGAACAAAAAUCACAAAUUAGAAAAAAAAAAAAGCUAAGAAAACCCAAAAAAAGAAGAAAAACGUUAAGAAAAAAUAAAAAAUGAGAAAAAGAAAGAUAGAAAGUAAAGAGAGUGCAAAAAGAAAAACAUUAAUAGAAAAUAAUGUAAAUGACCAAUUAGAUUGAAGUAACAAAAAAGAAAAUCAAAGUAAAAGGAAAAUAAGUAAUGAAAGAGUAAUAGAAAGAAAACAAGAAAGAAAGUAUUAUGUAAAAAGAAAAAAAAAAAAGGAAUGAAAAACUAAGAAAAUGCAUAAAAAGUAAAAAAAAAACAAAAAAAAGUUAAAAAAAGGAAAAGAAAAAGGAAGUAAAUAAAGAAAUAAAAAAAUUCUACAAAAGUUCAAUCUUUAAUUUAUGUUUAAAACUUAAUUUGAAUUCGAAAGUUUAGAUGCAAAAUAUUUUGAUUUGAAUUUAUUGAUUUAAAUUUAGAACUUUUAAUUUUUAAACCGUUAAAAAUGUAAAAAUUUGGAUACAUGAAGUAAAUAGUGAUAGAUAUAACAAUUCCAAACUAGUGUUAUUAUAUAUAAGCCAAUAAAAUUCCAAAAGAAAAUAACAAAGAUAAUUAUUAUCUCUUAACAAAUUGUAUUAAAUAAAAGAUAAAUAUUACACAAUCCAAAAUAAUAAAUAAAAUAAUGAGUAGUAAAAAAAUAAUCCAAAUUGAAUUAAAUAAAAGAUAAAAUAUUAUACAAGAUAAUUUUGUUAAUUAGAUAAAUUACACGACAAAUAAAAACAAAUUUCAAGAUAAAAUACAAGAUAAUCUUAAUUAGAUAUCUAAUUAGUAUACAUGCACAUAACUCCUUCCAUUUCUAAUGAAGCCAAAGUCUCAUUCAACAAUGUUUUAAUAUCUAUAACAUUAUAAAAUUUUUAUAAAAAAAAGCAAAAAAAAAAAAAUAAAAGGAAAAAUAAAAUAAGAGAAAAUUUAAAGCAAAAGGAAAAAGAAAAAAAAAGUACUAAAAAGAGAAAAAAAUUAAAAAUAAACAAAAGCACAAAAUAGAAAAAAUAAAAAAAGUAAGGAAAUGAAAAAAUAAUGAGUCAAAAGAAAAAAAUUAGAAAAAAAAAUUAUAACAAAUGAAAGAUAAAAUAUUAUACAAGAAAAUUUUGUUAAUUAGACAAAUUACACGAUAAAUAAAAACAAAUUUCAAGAUAAAUUACAAGAUGAUCUUAACUAGAUAUCUAAUUAGCAUACACGCACAUAACACCUUCCAUUUCUAAUAAAGUCAAAGUCUCAUUGAACAAUGUUUUAAUAUCUAUAACAUUAUAAAAUUUUUAUAAAAAAACAAAGUAAGAGGAAAAAUAAAAUAAGAGAAAAUAUUAAAGCAAAAGGAAAAAGAAAAAGAAAUUACAAAUAAACAAAAGCACAAAAUAGAAAAAAUAACGAGUCAAAAGAAAAAAAAUUAGAAAAAUAAAAAAAGUAAUAAAAAUUUCAAAAAUGAAGAAAAAUGACAAAAUAGAAAAAAAUUAGUUUAUAAAAUACGAACAAACAAUAAGAAAUAAUGGUAUAAAAAAUCAAAGAUAAAAAAUGAAAAGGGAUUACAAAAUGGAAAAAAAAGUAAUAAGAAAAAAAAUUAACAAAGGGAAAAAUUUAAUACAAAAUAAAAAUAAAAAUAAAAACAAGACAAGGAAAGGCAAAAAAAAGUUAAAAGAAGAAAAAAAUAAAAAAUGAAGAGUCAAAAUUAUGAGAUAAAACAAAAAGAAAAAAAGUUUAUAGAAUAUUUUGAAACAAAGAAAAAAGUGAAAACAAAAAAAUAUGAAAGCACGUGAAAAAAUAAGUAAAAAGAAGAAGAAAAAUUUGAAAGCAGAAAAAGUUAAAGAAAAAUUAUAAAAAUGCAAUAGAAAAGAACCAACAAUGAUAAAAUAAAAAAAUAAAAGAUGAAAAAAAUACAAUAAAAAUAUAAAAAGUAAGAAAAUAAAAAAGACAAAAAUUGAAUAAAAACUUCAAAAAUGAAAUGGAAUGACAAAAUGAAAAAAAAAUAGUUCAAAAAAUACAAAAAAUUGAAAAACAUAUAAGACAUAAUGAGAAAAUAAUAUAAAAAGUCAAAGGCAAAAAAUUAAAAAAGAGAAAAGUUAAUUCAAAGUAAAAAUGAAAACCCAAGGAGAAAAUGCAAAAAAAAAAAUUAUGAGAAUUUAAAAACGCAAAUAAGAAGUGAAGGGAAAUUUGUGAAAAACAAAAAGCGUAAAGAAAUAUAAAUAAUUUUAAAACAUUGAAAGAAUUAAAACAAAUAAAAAUGAAAGCAUAUGAAAAAAAGGCAAAAAGAAAGAAAAUUUUGAAGGGAAAAAGUUAUUGAAAAUUUAUAAAAUAGAACAAAAAAUAGCAAAAAAAAUAGACAAAAAAAAUAAGAAAAUGAAAAAAUAAAAAAUUUUGAACUUCAUAAAAAUAUUUAAAAAUAUAAAUAAAAAAUAAAUUAAGAGAAAAUAUUAAUAUAAAAGAAAAAUUAAAUAAAAUACGAAAAAAGGAAGAAAUAAAAAUAAACAAAACAAAAGUAACAAAGCAAGAAAAUAAAAAAUUUACGAAUAAAAAAAAUAUAAAAAGAUAAAAUGAAUAAAAAUUUCAAAUACAAAAUGGAAAAAACUUUUAGUUUAGAAUGUACAAAGGAAAACAAAAAAUAUAUAUAAAACAAAUAAAGGAAAAAGAUAUAAAAUAUGAAAGAUGAAAAAUAAAAUAAAAGUUAAUAAAAAAUACAAAUAAAAAUAAAAGAAUGUGCACAAAAAAAGAAGUUUGAGGUUUUAAAAUUAUAAAGAAGAAAUAAAAAAAAGUGCGAACAAAAAGAUUUAAGAAAAAGCAAGAAAAAAGAAAAAAUGAAAAUACAAAAUAUAUAAAAUAAAAUUUGAGAAAAAAUAUAUAUAAAGUUCGAGAAAAAAUGAGAAAAAGAAGAAAAAAAUAAAAAAUGAAGAGGCAAAAAUAUGAAAUAAAAAAAAGAAAAAAAUUUAUAGAAAAUUUUAAAACAAAAAAAAGAGUGAACAAAAAAAAAGAAGAAAAAUUUGAAAGGAGAAAAAGUUACUGAAAAAUUAUAAAAAUGCAAUAAAAAAUAACCGAGAAUGAUAAAAUAAAAAAAGAAAAGAAAAAAAGAUAGAAAAAUAAAAAAUUUCAAAACUUAAUAAAAAUUUAUGAAAGAUAAAUAAAGCACAAAAAAAGAAAAAAUACAAAAAUACAACAAAAAAUAUAAAAAGUAAGAAAAUAAAAAAGGACAAAAAUUGAAGAAAAAUUUCAAAAAUGAAAUGGAACGACAAAAUGAAAAAAAAAAAGUUUAAAAAGGACAAAAAAUUGAAAAACAUAUAAGACCUAAUAAUAAAACAAUAUAAAAAGUCAGACAAAAAAUUAAAAAAGAGAAAAGUUAAUGCAAAAUAAAAAAAGUAUGAGAAUUUAAAAACGCAAAUAAGAAAUGAAAGGAAAUUUGUGAAAAAAGAAAUAAGAAAAGCAACAAAAGAAUAAAAAUGAAAAGACAAAAGGUUUGGAAUAAAAAACAGAAAAAUAAAAAUUUUUAAAAUAACGAAAAAUUAAAACAAGUAAAUAUGAAAGCAUAUGCAAAAAAGGCAAAAAGAAGGAAAAUUUUGAAGGGAAAAAGUUAUUAAAAAAUUACAAAGUAGGACAAAAAUAGCAAAAAUGAUAAUAAAAUAAAAAAAUAAAAAAGAUUCAAAAAAUAAAAAUAAAAAAUUUUGAACUUUAUAAAAAAAUUUUAAAAUAUAAAUAAAAAUAAAUGGAAAUAUAAAUUAAGAAAAAAAUAAAAAAGUAAGAUAUUAAAAAAUUAGCGAAUAAAAAAAAUAAAAGACAAAAAGAAUAAAAAUUUCAAAUACAAAAUAGAAAAAAAUUUUAGUUCAGAAUAUACAAAGAAAAACAAAAAAAAAAUAUAACAAAUAUAGGAAAAAGAUAUAAAAAAUCAAAGGUAAAAAAUAAAAUAAAAGUUAAUGAAAAAUAUAAAUAAAAGCAAAAGAAAGUGCACAAAAAAUAGUCUAAUAAUUUAAAAAUGCAAAUAAGAAAUGAAAGGAAAUUUGUGAAAAAAUAAGAAAAGCAAGAAAAGAAUAAAAAUGAAAAGACAAAAGAUUUGGAAUAAAAAAAGAAAAAAGAAAUAUAAAAAAUUUUAAAACAACGAAAAAAUUAAAACAAGUAAAACUGAAAGCAUAUGAAAAAAAAAAAAAAAAAGCCAAAAAGAAAGAAAAUUUUGAAGGGAAAACGUUAUUGAAAAAUUACAACAUAGAACAAAAAAAAUGAAAAUGAAAAAAUAAAAAAGAUUCAAAAAAUUUUAAAUUUUAAAUUUUAUAAAAGUUUUUAAAAAUAUAAAUAAAAAACAAAUAAAAGAAUAGUAAUAUAAAAGAAAAAAUAAAAUAAAAUACCAAAAAUGGAAAAAAAAUGAAAAAGUAAGAAAAUAAAAAAAAUAUAAAAAGACAAAAUGAAUAAAAAUUUGAAAUAUAAAUAGAAAAAAUUUUAGUUUAAAGAAAAAAAAUAACAAAUACAAGAAAAAGAUAUAGAAAAUCAAAAAAAUAUAAAAAGACAAAAAGAAUAAAAAUUUGAAAUACAAAAUAGAAAAAACUUUUAGUUUAAAGAAAAAAAUAACAAAUACAAGAAAAAGAUAUAAAAAAUCAAAGAUAAAAAAUAAAAUAAAAGUUAAUAAAAAAUAUAAAUAAAAACAAAAGGAAGUGCACAAAAAAAGAAGUUUGAGGUUUUAAAAUUGUAAAGAAGAAAUAAAAAAAGUGUGAACAAAAAGAUAUAAGGAAAAGCAAGAAAAAAAUAAAAAGAAAAACAUAGAGAAUUUUAAUAGAAAGAAAAAACUUCAAACAAAAAAAUGAAAGUAAAUCAACAAAUAAGUUAAAAGAAAAAGAAAAAAAAAGGGAUUAAUGAAAAAUUAUAAAAAUAGAAUAAAAAAUAGCAAAAAACAAAAAAUGAAAACAAAAAUGAGAAAAACCAAAAGAAUAAUAGAUUAAAAAAUAAAGUAAAUAUCCAUAACAUUACAAAAGUUAAAAAUAAAAAAUAAAAGGAAAAAUAAAAUAAGAGAAAAUAACAAAGCAAAGGAAAAUGAUAAAAUAAGUACUAAAAAACUAAAAAUAGAAAAACAAAAAAGUAAGGAAAUGAAGAAAUAACGAGUCAAAAGAAAAAUUAAAAAAAUAGAAAAAUGUUAAAAAUGGAAAGAUGACAAAAUAGAGAAAAGUUUAGUUUAUAAAUACAAACAAAUAAUAACAAAUAAUAAGAAAAAAGAUUUAAAAAAUCAAAGAUAAAAAAUUAAAAGAAGGGAAAGUUAACAACAAAAAGAAAAAAUAAACAAAAGAAGGAAGUUGGAACAAUCACAAAUUAGAAAAAAAAAAAGCUAAGAAAACCCAAAAAAAGAAGAAAAACGUUAAGAAAAAUAAAAAUGAGAAAAAGAAAGAUAGAAAGUAAAGAGAGUGCAAAAAGAAAAACAUUAAUAGAAAUAAUGUAAUGACCAAUUAGAUUGAAGUAACAAAAAGAAAAUCAAAGUAAAAGGAAAUAAGUAAUGAAGAGUAAUAGAAAGAAAACAAGAAGAAAUAUUAUGUAAAAAAAAAAAAAAGGAAUGAAAAACUAAGAAAAUGCAUAAAAAGUAAAAAAAACAAAAAAAGUUAAAAAAGGAAAAGAAAAAGGAAGUAAAUAAAGAAAUAAAAAUUCUACAAAAGUUAAAUCUUUAAUUUAUGUUUAAAACUUAAUUUGAAUUCGAAAGUUUAGAUGCAAAAUAUUUUGAUUUGAAUUUUUGAUUUAAAUUUAGAACUUUUAAUUUUUAAACCGUUAAAAAUGUAAAAAUUUGGAUACAUGAAGUAAUAGUGAUAGAUAUAACAAUUCCAAACUAGUGUUAUUAUAUAUAAGCCAAUAAAAUUCCAAAAGAAAAUAACAAAGAUAAUUAUUAUCUCUUACAAAUUGUAUUAAAUAAAGAUAAAUAUUACACAAUCCAAAAUAAUAAAUAAAAUAAUGAGUAGUAAAAAAUAAUCCAAAUUGAAUUAAAUAAAAGAUAAAAUAUUAUACAAGAUAAUUUUGUUAAUUAGAUAAAUUACACGACAAAUAAAAACAAAUUUCAAGAUAAAAUACAAGAUAAUCUUAAUUAGAUAUCUAAUUAGUAUACAUGCACAUAAACUCCUUCCAUUUCUAAUGAAGCAAAGUCUCAUUCAACAAUGUUUUAAUAUCUAUAACAUUAUAAAAUUUUUAUAAAAAAAAGCAAAAAAAAAAAAUAAAAGGAAAAUAAAAUAAGAGAAAUUUAAAGCAAAAGGAAAAAGAAAAAAAAAGUACUAAAAAAGAGAAAAAAAUUAAAAAUAAACAAAAGCACAAAAUAGAAAAAAUAAAAAAGUAAGGAAAUGAAAAAAUAAUGAGUCAAAAGAAAAAAUUAGAAAAAAAAAAUUAUAACAAAUGAAAGAUAAAAUAUUCAUACAAGAAAAUUUUGUUAAUUAGACAAAUUACACGAUAAAUAAAACAAAUUUCAAGAUAAAUUACAAGAUGAUCUUAACUAGAUAUCUAAUUAGCAUACACGCACAUAACACCUUCCAUUUCUAAUAAAGUCAAAGUCCUCAUUGAACAAUGUUUUAAUAUCUAUAACAUUAUAAAAUUUUUAUAAAAAAACAAAGUAAGAGGAAAAAUAAAAUAAGAGAAAAUAUUAAAGCAAAAGGAAAAAGAAAAGAAAUUACAAAUAACAAAAGCACAAAAUAGAAAAAAUAACGAGUCAAAAGAAAAAAAUUAGAAAAAUAAAAAAAUUUCAAAAAUGAAGAAAAAAUGACAAAAUAGAAAAAAAUUAGUUUAUAAAAUACGAACAAAAAAUAUACAACAAUAAGAAAUAAUGGUAUAAAAAUCAAAGAUAAAAAAUGAAAAGGGAUUACAAAAUGGAAAAAAGUAAUAAGAAAAAAAAUUAACAAAGGGAAAAAUUUAAUACAAAAUAAAAAUAAAUAAAACACAGACAAGGAAAGGCAAAAAAAGUUAAAAGAAGAAAAAAAUAAAAUGAGAGUCAAAUUAUGAGAUAAACAAAGAAAAAAGUUUAUAGAAUAUUUUGAAACAAAGAAAAAGUGAAAACAAAAAAUAUGAAGCACGUGAAAAAAUAAGUAAAAAGAAGAAGAAAAUUUGAAAGCAGAAAAGUUAAAGAAAAUUAUAAAAUGCAAUAGAAAAGAACCAACAAUGAUAAAUAAAAAAAUAAAAGAUGAAAAAAUACAAUAAAAAUAUAAAAGUAAGAAAAUAAAAAGACAAAAAUUGAAUAAAAACUUCAAAAAAUGAAAUGGAAUGAACAAAUGAAAAAAAAUAGUUCAAAAAUACAAAAAAUUGAAAAACAUAUAAGACAUAAUGAGAAAAUAAUAUAAAAGUCAAGGCAAAAAAAUUAAAAAAGAGAAAGUUAAUUCAAAGUAAAAUGAAAACCCAAGGAGAAAAUGCAAAAAAAAAAAAUUAUGAGAAUUUAAAAACGCAAAUAAGAAGUGAAGGGGAAAUUUGUGAAAAACAAAAACGCGUAAAGCAAUAUAAAUAAUUUUAAAACAUUGAAAGAAUUAAAACAAAUAAAAAAUGAAAGCAUAUGGAAAAAAAGGCAAAAGAAAGAAAAUUUUGAAGGAAAAGUUAUAUGAAAAUUUAUAAAUAAAAAACAAAAAAAAACCAAAAACAAUAAAAAAAAUAAAAUUUAACCAAAAAUAUUAAAAUAAAAACAAUAAAUUAAGAGAAAAUAUUAAUAUAAAAGAAAAUUAAAUAAAUACGAAAAGGAAGAAAUAAAAAUAAACAAAACAAAAAGUAACAAAGCAAGAAAAUAAAAAUUAACGAAUAAAAAAAAAUAUAAACAGAUAAAAUGAAUCAAAAUUUCAUACAAAAUGGACAAACUUAGUUUAGAAUAUACAAAGGACAAAAAAAAUAACAGCAAGGAAAAGAUUAUAAAUAUGAAAAGAUGCAAAAAUAAAAUAAAAGUUAAUAAAAAAUACAAAUAAAAAUAAAAGAAUGUGCAAAAAAACGAAGUUUGAGGUUUAAAACUUAUUACAAGAAGAAAUAAAAAAAAGUGCCGAACAAAAAGAUUUAAAAGCAAAAAAAAGAAAAAAAAUACAAUAUAAAUAAAUUUGAGAAAAAUAUAUAUAAAGUUCGAGAAAAAUGGAGAAAAGAAGAAAAAAUAAAAAAUGAAGAGGCAAAAUAUGAAUAAAAAAAAGAAAAAAAUUUAUAGAAAAUUUUAAAACAAAAAAAAGAGUGAACAAAAAAAAGAAGAAAAAUUUGAAAGGAGAAAAAGUUACUGAAAAAAUUAUAAAAUGCAAUAAAAAUAACCGAGAAUGAUAAAAUAAAAAAAAGAAAGAAAAAAGAUAGAAAAAUAAAAAUUUCAAACUUAUAAAAUUUAUGAAAGAUAAAUUAAAGCAAAAAAAAGAAAAAAUACAAAAAUCAACAAAAAAAUAAAAAGUAAGAAAUAAAAAGGACAAAAAUUGGAAGAAAAAUUUCACAAAAUGAAACUGGAACGACAAAAUGAAAAAAAAAAGUUUAAAAAGGAAAAAAAUUGAAAAACAUAUUAAGACCAAUAAUAAAACAAUAUAAAAAGUCAGACAAAAUUAAAAAGAGAAAAGGUUAAUGGGCAAAAUAAAAAAAGUAUGAGAAAUUUAAAAACGCAAAUAAGAAUGGAAGGAAAUUUGUGAAAAAAGAAUAAGAAAAGGCAACAAAAGAAUAAAAAUGAAAAGACAAAAGGUUUGGAAUAAAAAACAAUGAAAAAUAAAAUUUUUAAAAUAACGAAAAAUUAAAACAAGUAAAUAUGAAAGCAUAUGCAAAAAAGGCAAAAAGAAGGAAAAUUUUGAAGGGAAAAAGUUAUUAAAAAAUUACAAAGUAGGACAAAAAUAGCAAAAAUGAUAAUAAAAUAAAAAAAUAAAAAAGAUUCAAAAAAUAAAAAUAAAAAAUUUUGAACUUUAUAAAAAAAUUUUAAAAUAUAAAUAAAAAUAAAUGGAAAUAUAAAUUAAGAAAAAAAUAAAAAAGUAAGAUAUUAAAAAAUUAGCGAAUAAAAAAAAUAAAAGACAAAAAGAAUAAAAAUUUCAAAUACAAAAUAGAAAAAAAUUUUAGUUCAGAAUAUACAAAGAAAAACAAAAAAAAAAUAUAACAAAUAUAGGAAAAAGAUAUAAAAAAUCAAAGGUAAAAAAUAAAAUAAAAGUUAAUGAAAAAUAUAAAUAAAAGCAAAAGAAAGUGCACAAAAAAUAGUCUAAUAAUUUAAAAAUGCAAAUAAGAAAUGAAAGGAAAUUUGUGAAAAAAUAAGAAAAGCAAGAAAAGAAUAAAAAUGAAAAGACAAAAGAUUUGGAAUAAAAAAAGGAAAAAGAAAUAUAAAAAAUUUUAAAACAACGAAAAAAUUAAAACAAGUAAAACUGAAAGCAUAUGAAAAAAAAAAAAAAAGCCAAAAAGAAAGAAAAUUUUGAAGGGAAAACGUUAUUGAAAAAUUACAACAUAGAACAAAAAAAAUGAAAAUGAAAAAUAAAAAAGAUUCAAAAAAUUUUAAAUUUUAAAUUUUAUAAAAGUUUUAAAAUAUAAAUAAAAAACAAAUAAAGAAUAGUAAUAUAAAAGAAAAAUAAAAUAAAUACCAAAAAUGGAAAAAAAUGAAAAAGUAAGAAAAUAAAAAAAUAUAAAAGACAAAAUGAAUAAAAUUUGAAAUAUAAAUAGAAAAAUUUUAGUUUAAAAGAAAAAAAAUAACAAAUACAAGAAAAGAUAUAGAAAAUCAAAAAAUAUAAAAGACAAAAAGAAUAAAAAUUUGAAAUACAAAAUAGAAAAAACUUUUAGUUUAAAGAAAAAAAUAACAAAUACAAGAAAAGAUAUAAAAAUCAAAGAUAAAAAAUAAAAUAAAAGUUAAUAAAAAAUAUAAAUAAAAACAAAAGGAAGUGCACAAAAAAAGAAGUUUGAGGUUUUAAAAUUGUAAAGAAGAAAUAAAAAAGUGUGAACAAAAGAUAUAAGGAAAAGCAAGAAAAAAAUAAAAAGAAAAACAUAGAGAAUUUUAAUAGAAAGAAAAAACUUCAAACAAAAAAAUGAAAGUAAAUCAACAAAUAAGUUAAAAGAAAAAGAAAAAAAAAGGGAUUAAUGAAAAAUUAUAAAAAUAGAAUAAAAAAUAGCAAAAACAAAAAAUGAAAACAAAAAUGAGAAAAACCAAAAGAAUAAUAGAUUAAAAAUAAAGUAAAUAUCCAUAACAUUACAAAAGUUAAAAAUAAAAAAUAAAAGGAAAAAUAAAAUAAGAGAAAAUAAUAAAGCAAAAGGAAAAUGAUAAAAUAAGUACUAAAAACUAAAAAUAGAAAAAACAAAAAAGUAAGGAAAUGAAGAAAUAACGAGUCAAAAGAAAAAUUAAAAAAUAGAAAAAUAUUAAAAAUGGAAAAAAUGACAAAAUAGAGAAAAGUUUAGUUUAUAAAAUAUAAACAAAUAAUAACAAAUAAUAAGAAAAAAAGAUUUAAAAAAUCAAAGAUAAAAAUUAAAAGAAGGGAAAAGUUAAUACAAAAAGAAAAAAUAAAAACAAAAGAAGGAAGUGUGGAACAAAAAUCACAAAUUAGAAAAAAAAAGCUAAGAAAACCCAAAAAAAAGAAGAAAAACGUUAAGAAAAAUAAAAAAUGAGAAAAGAAAGAUAGAAAGUAAAGAGAGUGCAAAAGAAAAACAUUAAUAGAAAAUAAUGUAAAUGACCAAUUAGAUUGAAGUAACAAAAAGAAAAUCAAAGUAAAAGGAAAAUAAGUAAUGAAAGAGUAAUAGAAAGAAAACAAGAAAGAAAGUAUUAUGUAAAAAGAAAAAAAAAAAGGAAUGAAAAACUAAGAAAAUGCAUAAAAAGUAAAAAAAAACAAAAAAAGUUAAAAAAGGAAAAGAAAAAGGAAGUAAAUAAAGAAAUAAAAAUUCUACAAAAGUUCAAUCUUUAAUUAUGUUUAAAACUUAAUUUGAAUUCGAAAGUUUAGAUGCAAAAUAUUUUGAUUUGAAUUUAUUGAUUUAAAUUUAGAACUUUUAAUUUUUAAACCGUUAAAAAUGUAAAAAUUUGGAUACAAGAAGUAAAUAGUGAUAGAUAUAACAAUUCCAAACUAGUGUUAUUAUAUAUAAGCCAAUAAAAUUCCAAAAGAAAAUAACAAAGAUAAUUAUUAUCUCUUAACAAAUUGUAUUAAAUAAAAGAUAAAUAUUACACAAUCCAAAAUAAUAAAUAAAAUAAUGAGUAGUAAAAAAAUAAUCCAAAUUGAAUUAAAUAAAAGAUAAAAUAUUAUACAAGAUAAUUUUGUUAAUUAGAUAAAUUACACGACAAAUAAAAACAAAUUUCAAGAUAAAAUACAAGAUAAUCUUAAUUAGAUAUCUAAUUAGUAUACAUGCACAUAACUCCUUCCAUUUCUAAUGAAGCCAAAGUCUCAUUCAACAAUGUUUUAAUAUCUAUAACAUUAUAAAAUUUUUAUAAAAAAAGCAAAAAAAAAAUAAAAGGAAAAAUAAAAUAAGAGAAAAUUUAAAGCAAAAGGAAAAAGAAAAAAAAGUACUAAAGAAGAGAAAAAAAAUUAAACAUAAACAAAAGCACAAAAUAGAAAAAAUAAAAAAAGUAAGGAAAUGAAAAAAUAAUGAGUCAAAAGAAAAAAAUUAGAAAAAAAAAUUAUAACAAAUGAAAGAUAAAAUAUUAUACAAGAGAAUUUUGUUAAUUAGACAAAUUACACGAUAAAUAAAAACAAAUUUCAAGAUAAAUUACAAGAUGAUCUUAACUAGAUAUCUAAUUAGCAUACAUGCACAUAACACCUUCCAUUUCUAAUAAAGUCAAAGUCUCAUUGAACAAUGUUUUAAUAUCUAUAACAUUAUAAAAUUUUUAUAAAAAAACAAAGUAAGAGGAAAAAUAAAAUAAGAGAAAAUAUUAAAGCAAAAGGAAAAAGAAAAAGAAAUUACAAAUAAACAAAAGCACAAAAUAGAAAAAAUAACGAGUCAAAAGAAAAAAAAUCAGAAAAAGAAAAAAAUUUCAAAAAUGAAGAAAAAAUGACAAAAUAGAAAAAAAUUAGUUUAUAAAAUAUGAACAAAAAAUAUAACAAACAAUAAGAAAUAAUGGUAUAAAAAAUCAAAGAUAAAAAAUGAAAAGGGAUUACAAAAUGGAAAAAAUUAAUUUAGAAAACAUAAGGAAAAAAAGUAAUAAGAAAAAAAAAUGAAAGAUAAAAAAAUUAACAAAGGGAAAAAUUUAGUACAAAAUAAAAACAAGACAAGGAAGGGCAAAAAAAAGUUAAAAGAAGAAAAAAAUAAAAAAUGAAGAGUCAAAAUUAUGAGAUAAAACAAAAAGAAACAAAGUUUAUAGAUAUUUUGAAACAAAGAAAAAAGUGAAAACAAAAAAAUAUGAAAGCACAUGAAAAAAUAAGUAAAAAAAGAAGAAAAAUUUGAAAGGAGAAAAAGUUAAAGAAAAAUUAUAAAAAUGCAAUAGAAAAGAACCAACAAUGAUAAAAUAAAAAAAUAAAAGAUGAAAAAAAAUACAAUAAAAAUAUAAAAAGUAAGAAAAUAAAAAAGACAAAAAUUGAAUAAAAACUUCAAAAAUGAAAUGGAAUGACAAAAUGAAAAAAAAAAUAGUUCAAAAAAUACAAAAAAUUGAAAAACAUAUAAGACAUAAUGAGAAAAUAAUAUAAAAAGUCAAAGGCAAAAAAAUUAAAAAAGAGAAAAGUUAAUUCAAAGUAAAAAUGAAAACCCAAGGAGAAAAUGCAAAAAAAAAAAAAUUAUGAGAAUUUAAAAACGCAAAUAAGAAGUGAAGGGAAAUUUGUGAAAAAAAAAAAGCGUAAAGAAAUAUAAAUAAUUUUAAACAUUGAAGAAUUAAAACAAAUAAAAAUGAAAGCAUAUGAAAAAAAGGCAAAAGAAAGAAAAUUUUGAAGGGAAAAAGUUAUUGAAAAUUUAUAAAUAGAACAAAAAAUAGCAAAAAAAAUAUACAAAAAAAAUAAAAAAAUGAAAAAAUAAAAAUUUUGAACUUUAUAAAAUUUUUUAAAAUAUAAAUAAAAAAUAAAUUAAGAGAAAAUAUUAAUAUAAAAGAAAAAUUAAAUAAAAUACGAAAAAAGGAAGAAAUAAAAUAAACAAAAACAAAAGUAACAAAGCAAGAAAUAAAAAAUUUACGAAUAAAAAAAAAUAUAAAAAGACAAAAUGAAUAAAAAUUUCAAAUACAAAAUGGAAAAACUUUUAGUUUAGAAUGUACAAAGGAAACAAAAAAUAUAUAUAAACAAAUAAAGGAAAAGAUAUAAAAUAUGAAAGAUGAAAAAUAAAAUAAAAGUAAUAAAAAUACAAAUAAAAUAAAAGAAUGUGCACAAAAAAAGAAGUUUGAGGUUUUAAAAUUAUAAGAAGAAAUAAAAAAAAGUGCGAACAAAAAGAUUUAAGAAAAAGCAAGAAAAAAUGAAAAAUGAAAUACAAAUAUAUAAAAUAAAAUUUGAGAAAAAAUAUAUAAAGUUUGAGAAAAAUGAGAAAAAGAAGAAAAAAAUAAAAAUGAAGAGGCAAAAAUAUGAAAUAAAAAAAAAAGAAAAAAUUUAUAGAAAAUUUUAAAACAAAAAAAAGAGUGAACAAAAAAAUGAAACGCACAUAAAAAAAAGAAGAAAAAUUUGAAAGGAGAAAAAGUUAAUGAAAAAUUAUAAAAUGCAAUAAAAAUAACCGAGAAUGAUAAAAUUAAAAAAAGAAAAGAAAAAAAAGAUAGAAAAAUAAAAAUUUCAAACUUAAUAAAAAUUAUGAAACUAUAAAAAAAGAAAAAAAAUUAAAGCAAAAGAAAAAAGAUAAAUAAUGCACAAAAAAAGAAAAAAUACAAAAAUACAACAAAAAAUAUAAAAAGUAAGAAAAUAAAAAAGGACAAAAAUUGAAGAAAAAUUUCAAAAAUGAAAUGGAACGACAAAAUGAAAAAAAACAAAAGUUUAAAAAGGACAAAAAAUUGAAAAACAUAUAAGACCUAAUAAUAAAACAAUAUAAAAAGUCAGACAAAAAAUUAAAAAAGAGAAAAGUUAAUGCAAAAUAAAAAAAGUAUGAGAAUUUAAAAACGCAAAUAAGAAAUGAAAGGAAAUUUGUGAAAAAAGAAAUAAGAAAAGCAACAAAAGAAUAAAAAUGAAAAGACAAAAGGUUUGGAAUAAAAAACAGAAAAAUAAAAAUUUUUAAAAUAACGAAAAAUUAAAACAAGUAAAUAUGAAAGCAUAUGCAAAAAAGGCAAAAAGAAGGAAAAUUUUGAAGGGAAAAAGUUAUUAAAAAAUUACAAAGUAGGACAAAAAUAGCAAAAAUGAUAAUAAAAUAAAAAAAUAAAAAAGAUUGAAAAAAUAAAAAUAAAAAAUUUUGAACUUUAUAAAAAAAUUUUAAAAUAUAAAUAAAAAUAAAUGGAAAAAUAAAUUAAGAUAAAAUAUUAAUAUAGAAGAAAAAAUUAAAUAAAAUACCAAAAAAUAAAAAAAUAAAAAAGUAAGAUAUUAAAAAAUUAGCGAAUAAAAAAAAUUAAAGACAAAAAGAAUAAAAAUAGAAAAAAAUUUUAGUUCAGAAUAUACAAAGAAAAACAAAAAAAAAAUAUAACAAAUAUAGGAAAAAGAUAUAAAAAAUCAAAGGUAAAAAAUAAAAUGAAAGUUAAUGAAAAAUAUAAAUAAAAACAAAAGAAAGUGCACAAAAAAAAGUCUAAUAAUUUAAAAAUGCAAAUAAGAAAUGAAAGGAAAUUUGUGAAAAAUAAGAAAGCAAGAAAAGAAUAAAAAUGAAAGACAAAAGAUUUUGAAUAAAAAAAGAAAAAAGAAAUAUAAAAAAUUUUAAAACAACGAAAAAAUUAAAACAAGUAAAAUUGAAAGCAUAUGAAAAAAAAAAGGCAAAAAGAAAGAAAAUUUUGAAGGGAAAACGUUAUUGAAAAAUUAAAUAGAACAAAAAAAAUAGACAAAAAAAUAAGAAAAUGAAAAAAUAAAAAAUUUUGAACUUUAUAAAAAUUUUUUAAAAUAUAAAUAAAAAAUAAAUGAAAAAAUAAAUUAAGAGAAAAUAUUAAUAUAAAAGAAAAAAUAAAUAAAAUACGAAAAAAGGAAGAAAUAAAAAUAAACAAAAACAAAAAGUAACAAAGCAAGAAAAUAAAAAAUUUACGAAUCAAAAAAAUAUAAAAAGACAAAAUGGAAAAAACUUAGAAUGUACAAAGGAAAACAAAAAAUAUAUAUAUACAAAUAAAGGAAAAAGAUAUAAAAUAUGAAAGAUGAAAAAUAAAAUAAAAGUUAAUAAAAAAUAGAAAUAAAAAUAAAAGAAUGUGCACAAAAAAAGAAGUUUGAGGUUUUAAAAUUAUAAAGAAGAAAUAAAAAAAAGUGCGAACAAAAAGAUUUAAGAAAAAGCAAGAAAAAAAUAAAAAAUGAAAAUACAAAAUAUAUAAAAUAAUAUGAGAAAAUAUAUAUAAAGUUUGAGAAAAAAUGAGAAAAAGAAGAAAAAAAUAAAAAAUGAAGAGGCAAAAAUAUGAAAUAAAAAAAAAAAAAAAUUUAUAGAAAAUUUUAAAAAAAAAGAGUGAACAAAAAAAAUGAAGCGCAUAAAAAAAAAGAAGAAAAAUUUGAAAGGAGAAAAAGUUAAUGAAAAAUUAUAAAAAUGCAAUAAAAAAUAACCGAGAAUGAUAAAAUAAAAAAAGAAAAGAAAAAAAGAUAGAAAAAAAAAAUUUCAAAACUUAAUAAAAAUUUAUGAAACUAUAAAAAAAGAAAAAAAUUAAAGCAAAAGAAAAAAGAUAAAUAAAGCACAAAAAAAGAAAAAAAAAAUACAACAAAAAUAUAAAAAGUAAGAAAAUAAAAAAGGACAAAAAUUGAAGAAAAAUUUCAAAAAUGAAAUGGAAUGACAAAAUGAAAAAAAAUUAGUUUAAAAAGGAACAAAAAAUUGAAAAACAUAUAAGACCUAAUAAUAAAACAAUAUAAAAAGUGAGACAAAAAAUUAAAAAAGAGAAAAGUUAAUGCAAAAUAAAAAAAGUAUGAGAAUUUAAAAACGCAAAUAAGAAAUGAAAGGAAAUUUGUGAAAAAAGAAAUAAGAAAAGCAACAAAAGAAUAAAAAUGAAAAGACAAAAGGUUUGGAAUAAAAAACAAAAAAUAAAAAUUUUUAAAAUAACGAAAAAAUUAAAACAAGUAAAAAUGAAAGCAUAUGAAAAAAAGCAAAAAGAAGGAAAAUUUUGAAGGGAAAAAGUUAUUAAAAAAUUACAAAGUAGGACAAAAAUAGCAAGAAAAAUAAAAAAAUAAAAAAGAUUCAAAAAUAAAAAAAAAAAUUUUGAACUUUAUAAAAAUUUUUUAAAAUAUAAAUAAAAAUAAAUGGAAAAAUAAAUUAAGAUAAAAUAUUAAUAUAGAAGAAAAAAUUAAAUAAAAUACCAAAAAAGCAAAAAAUAAAAAAGUAAGAUAUUAAAAAAUUAGCGAAUAAAAAAAUACAAAAGACAAAAUGAAUAAAAAUUUCAAAUACAAAAUAGAAAAAACUUUUAGUUCAGAAUAUACAAAGAAAAACAAAAAAAAUAUAUAACAAAUAUAGGAAAAAGAUAUAAAAAAUCAAAGAUAAAAAAUAAAAUAAAAGUUAAUAAAAAAUAUAAAUAAAAACAAAAAGAAAGUGCAAAAAAAAAGUCUAAUAAUUUAAAAAUGCAAAUAAGAAAUGAAAGGAAAUUUGUGAAAAAAUAAGAAAAGAAUAAAAAUGAAAAGACAAAAGAAAAAAGAAAUAUAAAAAAUUUUAAAACAACGAAAAAAUUAAAACAAGUAAAACUGAAAGCAUAUGAAAAAAAAAAAAAAAAGCAAAAAGAAAGAAAAUUUCUAAGGGAAAAAGUUAUUGAAAAAUUAGAACAUAGAACAAAAAAAAUGAAAAUGAAAAAAUAAAAAAGAUUCAAAAAUAAAAAAUU
rnacentral:lncRNA from 1 species